CCCUUAGAUGUUCUGGGCCGCACGCGCGCUACACUGAUGCAUUCAACGAGUCUAAAACCUGCUCUGAUAGGGGUGGGUAAUCUUUUGAAUGUGCAUCGUGAUUGGGAUAGAUGAUUGCAAUUUUUCAUCUUCAACAAGGAAUGCCUAGUAAACGCAAGUCAUCAGCUUGCAUUGAUUACGUCCCUGCCCUUUGUACACACCGCCCGUCGCUCCUACCGAUUGAAUGAUCCGAUGAAUAUCAUGGAUUGAGGAUGCAAGCAGGUUCGCCUGUCUUCAUCUUCGAGAAGUGAAGUAAAUCUUAUCAUUUAGAGGAAGGAGAAGUCGUAACA
rnacentral:rRNA from 1 species